GUAAACUGCCGAACAGGCAGUUUAGAAA
rnacentral:other from 1 species